UGCGAACGCUGGCGGCAGGCCUAACACAUGCAAGUCGAACGGAUCCUUCGGGAUUAGUGGCGGACGGGUGAGUAACACGUGGGAACGUGCCCUUUGGUUCGGAACAACUCAGGGAAACUUGAGCUAAUACCGGAUAAGCCCUUCGGGGGAAAGAUUUAUCGCCAUUGGAGCGGCCCGCGUAGGAUUAGCUAGUUGGUGGG
rnacentral:rRNA from 1 species